AGCGAACGCUGGCGGCAGGCCUAACACAUGCAAGUCGAACGAACUCUUCGGAGUUAGAGGCGGACGGGUGAGUAACACGUGGGAACGUGCCUUUUGGUUCGGAAUAACUCAGGGAAACUUGUGCUAAUACCGAAUGUGCCCUUCGGGGGAAAGAUUUAUCGCCAUUAGAGCGGCCCGCGUCUGAUUAGCUAGUUGGUGAGGUAACGGCUCACCAAGGCGACGAUCAGUAGCUGGUCUGAGAGGAUGACCAGCCACACUGGGACUGAGACACGGCCCAGACUCCUACGGGAGGCAGCAGUGGGGAAUCUUGCGCAAUGGGCGAAAGCCUGACGCAGCCACGCCGCGUGAAUGAUGAAGGUCUUAGGAUUGUAAAAUUCUUUCACCGGGGACGAUAAUGACGGUACCCGGAGAAGAAGCCCCGGCUAACUUCGUG
rnacentral:rRNA from 1 species